GACAUGCAGAGGGAGGAAGGUGCGCUACACAGGCGGCAGACCCUCCGGCUCCAACAGGUCUGCUGGAAGAGUGAGCAACUAGAUGACGCCAAUCAGCAGGGGGCCAGGAAAGGCAAAAACAUCGGCAAAGAGAAAUAUAAGAGACCUCACAGCGAGGGUUUCCUGCAGAAGGGCCACAUUUGUCUUCCUUCCAUGAACACUGUUAAUGAACCCAGGAUACUGUACAUUGUUAUUUGAACACAGCCUUGCUCCUGGUGGAACUAUUUGCUUCAGAGGGGUUCGAAACAUAGCCAACUCACAUGUUGCGUCAGCAGGUUGAUGUGACUCGAUCCAGCACUGUUGCGGGCAACUUGCUUGUCGGCCAGCUUCUGCAGAGCUGAGAUGAAGGCCUGCUGGUUGGACUGGGCCUGGACUGUAAGAGAGUUGAACUCCCUGAAGGCCCCGUCAGAUUCGGACUUCAGCUUACUGGAACUGUACAUCCUGGAUGCUACUAUAAAGACAGAGAAGAAAUCUGUGACGUCUUUGUUGAACUCGCUGAAGGUACGAAGAAAAGGUCAUCCGUGCCUGCACUUUACUGGAAGGAGAUAAAAUAGCAGCAGAGCGAUGACUCAGGUGGUGCCAUCUCUUCUUACGGGCCCCCAGAGACAGCAGCUUCCUCUCGUACUGGACGGCGUGGUGGCCAUCGACUGUGUCCAUUUGCAGCUGCGAAUUCCCGCCCGCAUUCCUUAGAGACAGCAGAAGACAUGUCAACACAACCGUGGUGACAACAACAAUACCAAUGAUUUAUCUUUAAAUUAGCAUUUCCAAAAAGACAUUGCAGAGCAAACUUUAAGAAUGAUUAGUGUGGUUGAGUACUUUUUCCAGAUGUUGACAUGACUGAGAGUGAUGGUCCAAAGGAGAAAGAAUAAAUAUUAAAUAAUAACAGCCACUGGAUCAUUAAAAUAACGACCAUCUCCCUGAUGCAGCUGCAGGGGGAGUCUUCACUGUGAUGAUGUGGGUUCCCAUCUCAAGACACUGUAAAUAAGGUUGUCCUUAGAAUAUGUACAGUAUCAAGCAAAAUUGAGUACUCACCUCAUUUCUCAGCAAAUAUUUUAUCAUUUCUUAAGGGACAAUAAAAUUAUAUCGGAACUUUAAUAUUUUAAUACUUGUAUAGCAGUUUAGAUUUCCUAUCCCCUGAAAAUUACUCAUUAUUUUCUAAAUAACUGGCAACACAAGUCAAUAAUUGAAACAUUCAGGAAGUAUCCACAGCGUUGUCGACACUUCCUCAGACCCCCGCCACCCCUACCUUCCACUGCACGCCAAGAAGAUUCAACAACCAGGUAAAAUAGAUUGUAUUUCUUAUUUUUAAUCAUUGUGAUGAACUGGCUGUUAAAGUGAGUGCAUCACAGGCCUAGUGACAAUGUGGGGGUGUGUUGAGGCCAGUUCAGCUUGUUGUUGUUGUUUUGGCUUUGUUAAUAAAUAGAAAGUCACCCGAGUAUAAUGUUUAUUUGAUAUAUAGUACUGUACAGCGCUUUAUGUACAUUGUGUUAACUUUUACUAAAGGCUCAAGGCUGUAACCCAUUUUUCAUGUUUAAAUUGUUUCAUUAUGCUAACUUUUCUAUUUACAAACCCUGUCAAGAACCAAUAAGUUUGUAAAUCGAGGUUUCACUGUAUAACAAAAUGGUUUCUGAGACGUGAGGGAUGUGAGGGAUCCUGUAUGUGCAUAUUUUAAUAAUGAAAUAAAGAAGUAUUUCCCUUCCUCUUCCAAACUGAUGCCACAUACACACUGGGCACACUGGAAAAGAUGAGCGCACAUCCUCUUCUCAGCUGUUCCCCUCACCUACCCAAGUCAAAGACCAAACAAACUCUAUGCUGGAAUCCAACUGCUUCCAUAAACUGAAGGAGGGAUCCA